rnacentral:rRNA from 1 species
CCUACGGGUGGCAGCAGUGGGGGAUAUUGCACAAUGGGGGGAACCCUGAUGCAGCGACGCCGCGUGGGUGAAGGAGCGUUUCGGCGCGUAAAGCCCUAUCGGCAGGGAAGAAGAUGACGGUACCUGACCAAGAAGCCCCGGCUAACUACGUGCCAGCAACCGCGGUAAUACGUAGGGGGCAAGCGUUAUCCGGGUUUACUGAGUGUAAAGGGGGCGCAGACUGCCAUGCAAGUCAGUAGUGAAAGCCCGGGGCUCAACCCUGGGACUGCACUUUGAACUGCAUGGCUGGAGUACAGGAAGGGCAGGCGGAAUUCCUGGUGUAGCGGUGAAAUGCGUAGAUAUUAGGAGGAACACCGGUGGCGAAGGCGGGCUGCUGGACUGUGACUGACGUUGAGGCCCGAAGGCGUGGGGAGCAAACAGGAUUAGAUACCCGGGUAGUC